AAAAAACCUAUUUUAUCCUUAUAUUUCAAAAACAUAACACGUGUCUUCUUCCUGGCAUCUUUUAUUCCAAAAACUUUUAUUCUUUUCUUUCUCCACUUCCAAUUUAGUAAACGGUUUCUCAAAAAACUGGUAAUCUUCCAUCUUCCAAAACCGUAUCUUCACCAUCUCCACAAUCCUCACUCCCACUCUCUCAUCUUCUUCAUUCUCCCACACACAUCACUGCAUCUUCAAUCUUCAUCGUCAGCCUCUGUAAUCACUACAAACACUGGACUUCUCAAGCACUCUGGGUCGCUCUACAUCUUCUUUCAUGCGUAUGGGAGUGAAGUUUUCACCUUUUAA